GAAGAUUCCAGAAGGACACGUGGCAACAUCAGAGUAAUGGCGUCGGGUCGAAGCAAAUAUCUCCAAGUUGUCGCAGCCGUUAGAUGGUCUUCAAUGUAUCUUUUCCGGUUUUGCCCCUACGGGCCUUCUAGUUUAUUUUAUAACCUUAGGGGUAGUUUAGUCUUUUCGCGUUUAGAGUUAGUGGGAGAUAUUUAGUUAGUGGACAGCCCACCCUCUCUCUCUCUCAUUUUUGCCCAGACGAGAGCAACUCCCUGGUGCCUGCCUCUUCCUUCUCUGUUCCUCCCUCUUCCUCUCUCUCGGGUAGAAUUUCAUCCAUGGAUUCUUGAGAUUUUGUACUAAGAUUGAUCGGGAAAGGAGGCCCUCUCCUCCUUGUUCCCUCGGGGCUUUUGAAUUUGAAUCAAUCUUAUACUUUGAAUGUCUUUUGUGUGAUGAAUUUUGGUUCUCUCGUUUUGUUCUUUGUGCAUGAGAUUGAGGGUGGUUUCUAGAUGAUUUUGUGAUUCCUUGGGGUGCUUCUAAUCCAUCUAGCCUAGUGCUAAAUUCCUGCUUUUAAUCCAUCUAGCCUAGUGCUAAAUUCCCCGGAAUCACUAGUUCCUUCUAUUGGAGAUUUUCGCGUUCUUGAGAAAACCCCGUUCUUGCUUGGGAAUUCCUCGAUUCCUCCCAAACCAUGAAGUGAUUCGUCGAUUCCUUUGGUGGGUAUGUUCACAAGGUCUUUGUGAUCGUGCCUGCAAAAUUUGGUGAGGUUUGGACUUGUUUUGAUCCUCCAAUCGUCAAGUCUUGGAUCGAACCGAGAGCAAAAACAGAGUUUCUGCGUCGGGCAGAAUUUUUCCUUAUCACCGGUUGAACCGGCGUUAGCCAAUGAUCAACCGGUGAUCAGGGUUUUCUCAGCGUGACAGGGUUUCUUGUGUGUGCACUGGUUGAUUUCUUGAAUCUUCGUUUUUCACUGCGUCGGAUCAACUGGUGCUAAUGUUUUUGCGUACACCGGUGCAUUGAGCUUCUGUCUUUUGAUCGUCGGAUCAACCAGUGCUUGUUGUGUUGUUUUGGGGUCUCUCUGGACAACUGCACCAGCGAUGGGGUUUGAUUUUGUCGGUUUAACCGGUGUUCGUUGAGUCAUUUUUAGGUCUCUCUGGACAACUGCACCGGCGUUUGGGUUGGAUUUUGUCGGUUUAACCGGUGCGUUGUUUUUCUCGUGCUGACUAUUUAGUCUCACCGGUUGAACCGACGUGGACAAGAUUAGUCGCGUCGGAUCAACCGGUGAAACGUACUGUGUUGUUCUUCUGUGCUGCCAGCUUUGUCUCACUGGUUGAACCGACGUUAACAAAUGUAUCUUCGUCGGAUCAACCAGUGAUAUAUACUGUGCUUCCGCGAUAAUUUUUGAGUUUGAAUUUGCUCUCAUUCACCCCCCUCUGGUCGCAUUCUCGGUCCUUCAUUUACCUUCACACUGUCAGAAAUUUGUUGCAGUAAAUUAUUUCAGUCCAUGUUGCUGUAGUUUUUAUAAGAUAUGUUGGUGGAAAGCUGGAGCCCCUGUAAGUUGCGAUAAGGUUCGUCUGCACUUUUUCUUCUCUUCCUUCGCUUCCUGCAUUUUAUAUGAUAAUAUGGCAGGUACCAGUAGUGAAGCGUUCUGAACCUGAAUUCCUCCUGGCCAUAAGAUUCAGAGAUGCCUAACAGAUCAGAUUUGGAUUGGGCCACAACUGUUGUAAGGAGCUUGAUUCGCUGCAAGUUUCGUCGAUGGAAAGCACCAUAUAGAACAAUAGUUCAUUAAAAUGGAUGGAGACAUUUUAUAGCUGCAUCUUGGUUACUACUUUUCACUAUCACUUUCUGAGUAUUUGGCAUCUUGCAGCAAGUAAACACGGAAACAGAGAAACAUCAGAUAAAAUGGAGAACCUGAAAUUUCCAUGCUUCCUAGGAUGUAGUUCGAGGUGAUAGGUAAACUUGGAUAGUCAUUUGGGUGAACUUUUCGAAAAAAUAUGUUCUGAUGUAGUUCGAGGUCAAAACUUUACAGGGUUAUUCCCAGUUACAAAGAUCAAUGGCUGACUUAUUAGGAUGACAAAAAAUGAACAAUGUACGGUCCAAAGGAUGAUAUGAUUUGAUGGUUGUCAAGACUCGACCACGGUUUUCCAGGUUAGUUAGCAUUUGGCAUAGCAAGAUGCCUCUGCAUAAAUAAAGAAGGAGGAGCCAGAUCGAGAGUUGGUAUAGUGUACUGCUGUUGAGGGGUUGCUUUCAGCACUCUUAUUCUCUUUUUGAUUGCCACCAAGCCUGAAGCUCCCUCUCAAUGCAAUUCAUACCAGUGCUACCUUUAAUUUCUUUUCAUAAUAUACAUAUCGAGAUGUGGCCUUGUUUUUGGCAGUGGCAGUAAUUUCUGAUACAUGAUCAUGCACGUUGUCUCCAAAUUUUACAUGGCAAGUACAUGCUUAAGGUUCUAUUGGAGUCUGGUAAGCCCUGGAAUUACAUCCAUAGUUUAUUUGUAACUAAAACAAACUACAAAUUUCUUUUUUUAAAAUGCUAAUUUCAUUUCUGUUUGACAGUUUCAGUAAUUAUUAUUACCCUUAUAUUCUAGAGAGAGAAAAGUCAUUUUUUGUAUAUGAUUGGCCAUAGGCUGAACUCGCGUACAAGCUUAUGAGUGAUGGUAUAGGCAUGAAUUGAUGCUUCUUGAUCAAGCAAGAAACAUGGACUUUUGGUUGCCUAACACAUGACCUGACGCUGUCAAUCAACAUAUGUCCCUUAACGUGUUAAUCCAAAUAAGUUGAGAUGUCCUUCACAAUCUUAUCCAAUCAACUACCCAACUGAAUUAACAGUUUGAUGGAUGCUUCUCUAUAAUGUGCAGCAUAUAUUGGGUCGUUUUUUCUCUCUCUUGAAAUGGUGCAUAUAUUGUACCUCAAUCAGUUAUGGAAUCUGUUAAAAACAGCUGAUGCAGUUUCUGUUGAGAUUGUGUCUAUUCUGGCCAUUGUAAAUUUCUUGUGAGAGACGAGUGAAUGCCAACUUCGAAAAAAAAGUUUUUGAUCGAAAUGUCUGCAUCAAGGGAAAUGCUUUUUUCAAAGUUAUAGUAUCAGUACGGCUGUAGGCUACCUGUUAUCGCCCCAGGGCUAGGAACAUGCGCGAUAGAAAAAAUUAUACACAUCACACCAUCAUCAUUGAAAAGGAAACUUCUUUAUGUGGUCCCAUGCCCUUCCCUGAACAUAAUGCUUGUGUUUCAAGCGUGCCUUUUGCUACUCUCAGCUCGUGUCACCAGUUCAAAUCUGGUUCUUGUCAGUUCAUCUUUUCCUUCAUAUCCCAAGCCUAAUUUCAAGUCCCUUCCUCUCUUAAACAGAAAUCCUUCUUAUCUUCUUUGUUUUUACAAUAGCAUUACUAUCUUGAGUAGUAUUCCUUUUACAAUGGCAUUCCUUCAUAUUUUGAGCCUAAUUUUCUCGAUCAUGGAAGAUGCAUUAACUUCAACAAAAAAAUGUCACAUUAGAGAAACGGGAGCAAAAUUCCUGUGAACUGUAACACUAUGGAUUAGAUCUAACCACAGUGCCACAUUGCUUAGACAUGUGUAUGCAGGUGAUGAGCGAUGAGUUGUUGUUGGCCUGGGCGUGCGCAGCCAAACUGAGGGAUCUCACGGUAGUCAAUUGCUGUGCUGGUAUUGUCUGUCUUUGGGUCCUAGGCCAGUUUCCAAACAUGGCGGCCUGGGACGGCAGAACCCCACAUGGAACCAGCUGCACAUGAAAGGUAACACAAGGGAAGAUUUUUCUAUGCGUCAUGCGCAUGGUUUUGCUUCCAAAUAUUGGAUUCAGUUUCUAUACAGCAUGUGCAGUGCUGUACUUCCCUUGAGCAUUUCACAUUUUGGAGGCAGUGUUCAUCUUCUUUGUUUCCGGGGAAGUGUUUCUAAUUUCAACUUUGAUCCAAUCUUUGAUUUGGCAUGUGCUAUGAGUCGAUUGAACAUUUCUUAUUUUUUUGAAGAUAAUGUUCUUUUAUAUCCACAUGUACUGCACAACAGUUGAUCCAAUCUUGAUGCUGCACAUGGUACAUCUCUUAGACACGGAUGUUUGUUGCCGCGCGCAUUGGCCACAUCUUUGAAGUACUUCUCAAUCUCAGGCAACAAUUCCUGUUUCAUCUCUUUCACUGCAUUGGAAAGCAAUGUCGCAUACAGCGAGACCGGGACCUUUGCUUGCUUCAACAAUGCUACCCUGUUCUGUAGUCAUAAGUUCAUGACUCAUGAAAGGUGUGUUUGUACACUCCAAAUAUUGUUAGUUCCUUCAAAGGAUGCGAAAGACAUGACCAUGAUAUCUAAAUAGUCAGCAUUGGUUCCUGUUGACGAAAAUGCUUCAUUUAUA